UUCGGGGUACACGAGCGGCGAACGGGUGAGUAACACGUGGGUGAUCUGCCUUGCACUCUGGGAUAAGCCUGGGAAACUGGGUCUAAUACCGGAUAUGACCUGUGAUUGCAUGAUUGUGGGUGGAAAGAUUUAUCGGUGCGAGAUGAGCCCGCGGCCUAUCAGCUUGUUGGUGGGGUAAUGGCCUACCAAGGCGACGACGGGUAGCCGGCCUGAGAGGGCGACCGGCCACACUGGGACUGAGACACGGCCCAGACUCCUACGGGAGGCAGCAGUGGGGAAUAUUGCACAAUGGGCGGAAGCCUGAUGCAGCGACGCCGCGUGAGGGAUGACGGCCUUCGGGUUGUAAACCUCUUUCGACUCCGACGAAGCGAAAGUGACGGUAGGAGUAUAA
rnacentral:rRNA from 1 species